rnacentral:rRNA from 1 species
GAUGAACGCUGACAGAAUGCUUAACACAUGCAAGUCGAUGAGAAGACUUCCUUCGGGGAGAGGUUAUCAUGGCGGACGGGUGAGUAACGCGUAAAGAACUUGCCUUUUGGACUGGGAUAACAGCUGGAAACGGCUGAUAAGACUGGAUAUAAUGAGAUAAUCGCAUGAAUAUUUCAUGAAAAGGAAUACCGGAAGAGAGCUUUGCGUCCUAUUAGCUAGUUGGUGAGGUAAGGGCUCACCAAGGCAGAGAUAGGUAGCCGGCCUGAGAGGGUGGACGGCCACAAGGGGACUGAGAUACGGCCCUUACUCCUACGGGAGGCAGCAGUGGGGAAUAUUGGACAAUGGAGGAGACUCUGAUCCAGCAAUUCUGUGUGCACGAAGAAGGUUUUCGGAUUGUAAAGUGCUUUCAGCAGGGAAGAAGGAAGUGACGGUACCUGCAGAAGAAGCGACGGCUAAAUACGUG